rnacentral:misc_RNA from 1 species
GAUGAAGAACGUAGCGAAAUGCGAUAAGUAAUGUGAAUUGCAGAAUCCAGUGAAUCAUCGAAUCUUUGAACGCACAUUGCGCCCGCCAGCAUUCUGGCGGGCAUGCCUGUUCGAGCGUCAUUUCAACCCUCGACCUCCCCUUGGGGAGGUCGGCGUUGGGGACCUGCAGCACACCGCCGGCCCUGAAAUGGAGUGGCGGCCCGUCUGCGGCGACCUCUGCGUAGUAAUACAGCUCGCACCGGAACCCCGACGCGGCCACGCCGUAAAACACCCAACUUCUGAACGUUGACCUCGAAUCAGGUAGGACUACCCGCUGAACUUAAGCAUAUCAAUAAGCGGAGGA